AGACUAGCUGAGCACUGGGGAGGGAGAGGCCCCAGAUAUGAGGAGGAAUGUGUGAAGGCCAGGUGAAAAGAGGGACCUGCUGCUGGAUCAUGGGGGUGCGACGCCUAAUCUGGAGAUGGGUCGGCCAGCGUGAUGUGGCGACCCAGUCCUGACAGCAAGGAACGGCGACAGUAGGAGCAGCUACUGGACAGGAUUGGCAGCAGGGCAGAGGUAUACCUCUGCCUGCAUUUGGCGCUGAAGCGAGGAGAGCCAUGGUGGCAUCGCAAGACGGACUCUGGUGGAGAACGCGAGCUGGGCUGGGAUGCGAUGGGCCCAGUGAAGGGACAAGAGGAGGAGAUAGGAGGCUCCUCCUUGUCUGCCGGAGACAAGGCUAGCAUGGACCCCGCUCUAAAGAAGGAAUUCCUGGCCUGCUGGUGGACCCAUCAUGAACAUGCAUCCAGGGUGUGGGACAUUGCAUCAGGGGAUUUUAUGAGUUUUAGUCUCCAUGGGGAUUUUAGUAUAUAGAUAAUAUUUUAUUGUGUACGUCUUUUAAGCAUUGUUGUUUUAUUGGUGCUCCCUGGCCUGGGAAUAAACUGGUUUCCGAUCA